rnacentral:rRNA from 1 species
ACUACGGGAGGCAGCAGUGAGGAAUAUUGGUCAAUGGACGAGAGUCUGAACCAGCCAAGUAGCGUGAAGGAUGACUGCCCUAUGGGUUGUAAACUUCUUGUAUAUGGGAAUAAAACAGGGUAUGCAUACCCUCUUGUAUGUACCAUAUGAAUAAGGAUCGGCUAACUCCGUGCCAGCAGCCGCGGUAAUACGGAGGAUCCGAGCGUUAUCCGGAUUUAUUGGGUUUAAAGGGAGCGUAGGGGGAUUGGUAAGGCAGUUGGGUAAGUUUGCGGCGCAACCGUAAAAUUGCAGUUGAAACUGGCAGUCUUGAGUACAGUCGCGGUGGGCGUAUUUCGUGGUGUAGCGGUGACAUGCUUAGCUCUC